UACGGGGGGAGCAAGCGUUGUUCGGAUUUACUGGGCGUAAAGGGCGCGUAGGCGGCCUCUGCAAGUCGACUGUGAAAUCUCCGGGCUUAACCCGGAAAGGUCAGCCGAUACUGCAGGGCUAGAGUGCAGAAGGGGCAACUGGAAUUCUCGGUGUAGCGGUGAAAUGCGUAGAUAUCGAGAGGAACACCUGCGGCGAAGGCGGGUUGCUGGGCUGACACUGACGCUGAGACGCGAAAGCGUGGGGAGCGAACAGG
rnacentral:rRNA from 1 species